rnacentral:rRNA from 1 species
AACGGCGAGUGAAGCGGCAACAGCUCAAAUUUGAAAUCUGGCCCCUCGGGGUCCGAGUUGUAAUUUGUAGAGGAUGCUUUUGGUGAGGUGCCGCCCGAGUUCCCUGGAACGGGACGCCACAGAGGGUGAGAGCCCCGUCUGGCUGGCCACCGAGCCUCUGUAAAGCUCCUUCGACGAGUCGAGUAGUUUGGGAAUGCUGCUCAAAAUGGGAGGUAUAUGUCUUCUAAAGCUAAAUAUUGGCCAGAGACCGAUAGCGCACAAGUAGAGUGAUCGAAAGAUGAAAAGCACCUUGAAAAGAGGGUUAAAUAGUACGUGAAAUUGUUGAAAGGGAAGCGCUUGUGACCAGACUUGGGCGCGGCGGAUCAUCCGGGGUUCUCUCCGGUGCACUUCGCCGCGUCUAGGCCAGCAUCAGUUCGUCGCGGGGGAAAAAGGCUUCGGGAACGUGGCUCCUCCGGGAGUGUUAUAGCCCGUUGCAUAAUACCCUGCGGUGGACUGAGGACCGCGCAUCUGCAAGGAUGCUGGCGUAAUGGUCACCAGCGACCCGUCUUGAAACACGGACCAAGGAGUCGUCUUCGUAUGCGAGUGUUCGGGUGUCAAACCCCUACGCGUAAUGAAAGUGAACGCAGGUGAGAGCUUCGGCGCAUCAUCGACCGAUCCUGAUGUUCUCGGAUGGAUUUGAGUAAGAGCAUACGGGGCCGGACCCGAAAGAAGGUGAACUAUGCCUGUAUAGGGUGAAGCCAGAGGAAACUCUGGUGGAGGCUCGCAGCGGUUCUGACGUGCAAAUCGAUCGUCAAAUAUGGGCAUGGGGGCGAAAGACUAAUCGAACCUUCUAGUAGCUGGUUUCCGCCGAAGUUUCCCUCAGGAUAGCAGUGUUGAGCUCAGUUUUAUGAGGUAAAGCGAAUGAUUAGGGACCCGGGGGCGCUAUAUUGCCUUCAUCCAUUCUCAAACUUUAAAUAUGUAAGAAGCCCUUGUUACUUAGUUGAACGUGGGCAUUCGAAUGUAUCAACACUAGUGGGCCAUUUUUGGUAAGCAGAACUGGCGAUGCGGGAUGAACCGAACGCGAGGUUAAGGUGCCAGAGUAGACGCUCAUCAGACACCACAAAAGGCGUUAGUACAUCUUGACAGCAGGACGGUGGCCAUGGAAGUCGGAAUCCGCUAAGGACUGUGUAACAACUCACCUGCCGAAUGUACUAGCCCUGAAAAUGGAUGGCGCUCAAGCGUCUCACCCAUACCUCGCCCUCGGGGUAGAAACGAUGCCCCGAGGAGUAGGCGGACGUGGAGGUCGUGACG